GAGAAACCAUCUGCAAUUCAGCAGAGAGGAAUUGUUCCCUUCUGCAAGGGGCUUGAUGUCAUUCAGCAAGCACAAUCUGGUACAGGAAAGACAGCAACCUUCUGUUCUGGGAUCUUGCAGCAGCUUGACUAUGGUCUGGUUGAAUGCCAGGCCCUGGUUCUUGCUCCCACCCGUGAGCUUGCACAGCAAAUUGAGAAAGUUAUGCGCGCACUUGGUGACUACCUUGGUGUUAAAGUCCAUGCAUGCGUUGGAGGAACAUCUGUU
rnacentral:lncRNA from 1 species